AAAAACAUCGCCUCUUGAUAACAUAAGAGGUCUUGCCUGCCCAGUGAUAAACUUCAACGGCCGCGGUACCCUAACCGUGCAAAGGUAGCAUAAUCACUUGUUCUCUAAAUAAGGACUCGUAUUAACGGCAUAACGAGGGUUACACUGUCUCCCCCCUCCAAUCAGUGAAACUGAUCCCCCCGUGAAAAAGCGGGGAUAAAACUAUAAGACGAGAAGACCCCGUGGAGCUUUAAACCAACAGCAAUUUAGUAAAAAAUUUCCUCACAACUAUAAAACUAUGCUAACGGCUUUAGGUUGGGGUGACCACGGAGUAAAAUUUAACCUCCAUGUCGAAAAGAUAAUCUUAACCUAAGAAUUACUAUUCUAAGAAUUAGAAAACUAACGAACCAUGACCCGAUUAUCGAUCAACGAACCAAGUUACCCCGGGGAUAACAGCGCAAUCUACUUCAAGAGUCCUUAUCGACAAGUAGGCUUACGACCUCGAUGUUGGAUCAGGGUAUCCCAGUGGUGCAGCUGCUACUAAAGGUUCGUUUGUUCAACGAUUAAAACCCUACGUGAUCUGA
rnacentral:rRNA from 1 species